rnacentral:rRNA from 1 species
GCGGCAGGCCUAACACAUGCAAGUCGAACGGUAACAGGAAGAAGCUUGCUUCUUUGCUGACGAGUGGCGGACGGGUGAGUAAUGUCUGGGAAACUGCCUGAUGGAGGGGGAUAACUACUGGAAACGGUAGCUAAUACCGCAUAACGUCGCAAGACCAAAGAGGGGGACCUUCGGGCCUCUUGCCAUCGGAUGUGCCCAGAUGGGAUUAGCUUGUUGGUGGGGUAACGGCUCACCAAGGCGACGAUCCCUAGCUGGUCUGAGAGGAUGACCAGCCACACUGGAACUGAGACACGGUCCAGACUCCUACGGGAGGCAGCAGUGGGGAAUAUUGCACAAUGGGCGCAAGCCUGAUGCAGCCAUGCCGCGUGUAUGAAGAAGGCCUUCGGGUUGUAAAGUACUUUCAGCGGGGAGGAAGGGAGUAAAGUUAAUACCUUUGCUCAUUGACGUUACCCGCAGAAGAAGCACCGGCUAACUCCGUGCCAGCAGCCGCGGUAAUACGGAGGGUGCAAGCGUUAAUCGGAAUUACUGGGCGUAAAGCGCACGCAGGCGGUUUGUUAAGUCAGAUGUGAAAUCCCCGGGCUCAACCUGGGAACUGCAUCUGAUACUGGCAAGCUUGAGUCUCGUAGAGGGGGGUAGAAUUCCAGGUGUAGCGGUGAAAUGCGUAGAGAUCUGGAGGAAUACCGGUGGCGAAGGCGGCCCCCUGGACGAAGACUGACGCUCAGGUGCGAAAGCGUGGGGAGCAAACAGGAUUAGAUACCCUGGUAGUCCACGCCGUAAACGAUGUCGACUUGGAGGUUGUGCCCUUGAGGCGUGGCUUCCGGAGCUAACGCGUUAAGUCGACCGCCUGGGGAGUACGGCCGCAAGGUUAAAACUCAAAUGAAUUGACGGGGGCCCGCACAAGCGGUGGAGCAUGUGGUUUAAUUCGAUGCAACGCGAAGAACCUUACCUGGUCUUGACAUCCACGGAAGUUUUCAGAGAUGAGAAUGUGCCUUCGGGAACCGUGAGACAGGUGCUGCAUGGCUGUCGUCAGCUCGUGUUGUGAAAUGUUGGGUUAAGUCCCGCAACGAGCGCAACCCUUAUCCUUUGUUGCCAGCGGUCCGGCCGGGAACUCAAAGGAGACUGCCAGUGAUAAACUGGAGGAAGGUGGGGAUGACGUCAAGUCAUCAUGGCCCUUACGACCAGGGCUACACACGUGCUACAAUGGCGCAUACAAAGAGAAGCGACCUCGCGAGAGCAAGCGGACCUCAUAAAGUGCGUCGUAGUCCGGAUUGGAGUCUGCAACUCGACUCCAUGAAGUCGGAAUCGCUAGUAAUCGUGGAUCAGAAUGCCACGGUGAAUACGUUCCCGGGCCUUGUACACACCGCCCGUCACACCAUGGGAGUGGGUUGCAAAAGAAGUAGGUAGCUUAACCUUCGGGAGAAGGCUUACCACUUUGUGAUUCAUGACUGGGGUGAAGUC